GGCAGGUGGGAGGCGUGCACGAUGGCCUCCCGUGUGUCCGCCAUGUCGGUGAUGACGCCGUCUGUCAGGAUCAGCAGGAUGAAGUAUUCCUGAGGCGGACGAGGCCACUUUCUGGAUGAUUGGGGCAAUGUUGGUGGGCCCAUAUAGCUGGAUCUUGGGGAGGCAAUUCUGGUAAGCUUCCACCACACCUUGGAUCCCUGCAACACACAUACACACACACACACACACAUAUACACACACACACACACACACACACACACACACACACACACACACACACACACACAAAAAAAAAAUCUGUCUAUAUGUUGCACUCCAUAGAAAGGUAAGGUCCCUCUCCUUCCGGUGAACCUUUUAUGGAAAAUAUUUUUACAAAAGCAACAGACAAAUCAUUAAUUUUUUGUCCCAUUUGAACACAGGCUUCAUAACUUCAGUGGCUCUGGAUAGCUUGUGAAGAAGUCAGUGUGUCAUUUUUCUAAUUACGUAUUUUCACAGUCUUACACUGUAACUGUGACUUUCUGGACUUGCAAAAUUAUAUUUUAAUUUGACAAGCAUCAUAUAUUAAUGAAUAAGGUCCCAUGGUGGUCCACCAGAAGGAGAGGAACAAUGCCUCUCUAUUGACUUCGCCGACUCUUCGAGUUCUCGUAUUUGCAAAAGUAUCUGCUAAAAUAAAUCAGACUCUGUGCAUGUGAUUGCACUCCAAGGUGACUGGGCAUUUUUCAUUCCCAUAUAGUCCACAACUGCUGACACACACGCACACACCUUCACAGCAAGAAGGCAGCUAUGUGGGGAGAAGAGCACAGAAGCCCAUUUCACACAUACAGAUUAGUGUUGUUUUUCUCUGAAUCGAAGAGCCUGAAAUACUUCCUGCAGCAUAGCGACAAAUCUCCCAGCUGCAUGUGUGUGUGUGUGUGUGUGUGUGUGUGUGUGUGUGUGUGUGUGUGUGUGUGUGUGUGUGUGUGUAUUUAAGUGUGUGUGCAUGCCUGUGUGUGUAAUAGGAGGAAACAGGGGGUGGGGACAGAUACAGAGGGAGAAAUAUGGGACUGACAGCGAGGGAGAGAUGAGAAGCGUGCAGCAGUGAUACGGAGGACUGUUUCGGUCCUGUGAUGUAUAAAUGUGAAAGUUUCUGUGAGUCAAGAAGUUAAGUGUGUUUGUUUGAUAUCUCACCAGCACAUUCAGGAUUGUCCUCAUCAAAGUUCACAGCAAAAUCAUGUGAAACCUACAUGCGGGACGGAGAACACAAAGCCUUUUACUGCCACGUUAAAACGAAACACUCAGCAAAACACGUUCAGUCCAAUUUACGGGUUGACAGAUGCAUUCUCUUUUCAUGUUGAUCAAAAGCAAGCUGUGCUCCCACUGCUACUGCAAACGCACGUACACACAUCUUGAGUGUCCUACCUUGAAGUCAGGUGGUAUGAGUGCUCCAAAACCAAAGGCAGGGAACAUUUUAUCACUGGAGAAAGACAAAUUUAUUGAAAAAGAUGGAGAAAGGUUUUAGCAGGAAGGACAAAUAUAAUGUAACUUCUUACAUGACAAACACUCUUAUGAAAGGAUUUGGUCCUUGGUGUAUGCAUGAGUGUGUUUAUUUGUGUGUGUGUGUGUGUGUGUGUGUGUGUGUGUGUGUGUGUGUGUGUGUGUGUUGGCGCGCGUGUGUGUAUGUGUGUGUGUGUUUGUGUGUGCCAUCAUUAGCCAAAUGAUGAUUGAUGGAGUGGGUUCUACCUGUCAUAGUCUUGGCAGAUCUCCCCUACAGCCACCAGCGCUUUGAGGUACUCAUUGGGCUGGUAGGGGUGGAUGUAAUGGAGGGAGCAGCUGUUUCUGGGAUCCCCAUUGGACGCUGUAAAAUCUAUUGCCACCUGGGACAGUAACACACACACACACACACACACACACAAACACACACAUACAUUCACACAGCAUGAGUGGGCAUGACAUGCUGCUUUGAAUAUUGAGGAGAUUAUAUGUGACAAAACUCACUGUGAACUGAAUUUGGCAGCCUCCCAUGAUGUAAUCCAGGAAGGAAUACAUUUUGAUGAUCUGUCAGGGCAAAUGUUGAAAUUUAAGAUUGGUUAUGAUAAGAGCUGGCUGUGGAUGUGGAUGUGGCUGUGGUCUAUGCAGUGUUGACGCCAGACAUAAUACAAACUUAACCGAUAACAAUUAAACCAAAAUUAAAACAAACAUGAGCAUCUGCCGCUUAACUUAACUUAACUUUCAUUUCAUUGUAAAUGUAAUAUCUGUGGUUUGGUACUGUUGUUUGUUUUCUGACAUUCAUUCAUUAAUUAAAACGACUAAUCAACAAAAUUACAUAUUAAAGGUACCCUGUGGAGGUUUUUUUUUCACCACAAGUGGUGCUAUGGAGCAAAUUAUUUUACAAAAAAAAAAAGAAUUCCUGCCACUGGUUUCAUUCCAUUAAUGAACAGUGAGAAGCAGCAGAGAAGAAGAAGAACAAGAACAAGAGUACAGCAAGCAAAUGUGGAUGUAAAAAAUUCAAAUGUUAACUGAGGAGAGAAAUGCAUUUAUCAUUUGUUACACCUCAAGGAAACACACAAUAUGUUUUGGUGAGAAACACAUAACCUUUGUUUGCUUAUGGGAAUGCUCCCCAGAGCAACUUUAAUCAAUAAUGAAAGCAAUCAUUAUUUGCAGCCCUACUCGACCUGUGAGAAUCAAACAGUGAGGGAUUUCAAGUAAGUACAAGGAUAAUGUGUUACCUCACCUUACAGUGGUUGAGAAUGACAACACCAGAAUUUCUGUAAUUCUUCUUCUUCAUUUGGUAUUUAGGGUUGAUGCACUCCCAUUGAAUCUAGGCAACACACAGUACAGAAAGAGAGGGUUAUUACACACACAUCACAUGCAGGCUCAACACUAUUGAAAAAAAGAUCAACCACAAAUUAAUUUAGAUGGAUAAUGUUUUCCUUAUGUGGCGAAAACACAGAGAGCUUUAGAAACCUGACCAGCAAUGAGCACUUCACUCUCAUUUAUUGUAUAGCUUCUUGUUGACAGCUGUCCAUAAUUUUGAUUAUAACAAUCAUGUGUGUUAACAAGUGCAUGUGUGUGGAGAUUUUUCUGGCAAUAAUCCCAUUGCAACUUUUGGCAUGCAAUUUUAAACUCAUUUUUUUGUGAUAUUUAAGAUAAAUCUGAUAUAUUUUUGAUUGAGUUUUAAUGGCAUACUUGUUUAAUUGUAAUCAUUCCCUGAGCAGGUUGGAUAACCAGUUCAUUGCUAGGUGUGUUAACCAUUUUGUAACCAUUAUUAAACCGUUGUCUAUCUAAAUAUA